rnacentral:pre_miRNA from 1 species
GUAGUAUUCCCUCCGUCCCAAAAUUCUUGUCUUACAUUUGUUUAGAUACGGAUGUACCUAACACUAAAAUGUAACUAGAUACAUCCGUAUUUAGACAAAUUUAAGACAAGAAUUUGGGACGGAGGGAGUACAAA